UGGGGGAUAUUGCACAAUGGGGGGAACCCUGAUGCAGCGACGCCGCGUGGGUGAAGGAGUACCUCGGUACGUAAAGCCCUAUCGGCAGGGAAGAAAGAAAUGACGGUACCUGACUAAGAAGCCCCGGCUAACUACGUGCCAGCAGCCGCGGUAAUACGUAGGGGGCAAGCGUUAUCCGGAUUUACUGGGUGUAAAGGGAGCGCAGGCGGCCGUGCAAGUCAGGAGUGAAAUACCGGGGCCCAACCCCGGGGCUGCUCUUGAGACUGCGUGGCUGGAGUGUCGGAGGGGCAGGCGGAAUUCCUAGUGUAGCGGUGAAAUGCGUAGAUAUUAGGAGGAACACCAGUGGCGAAGGCGGCCUGCUGGACGACGACUGACGCUGAGGCUCGAAAGCGUGGGGAGCAAACAGG
rnacentral:rRNA from 1 species